rnacentral:lncRNA from 1 species
AGCUUCCCAAGGAGGGUGGAACUGAUAACUUCCCUAAAGCAAGGAAGAGGGUCAUUCUCCUGUCUCAGUUACUACUGUUGUGCCCGUCGGAGUGGAUAAAGCAUAUUUCUUAGAGAGGACCACAGAAGCGAGGGCUUUGGGGAGGGAGGUGAUCUUGAGGAGGGUAGGAGAAGUGGAGUGAAGACAUUUUUUCUUUCUGAUUCUUCCAGAAGAGGACUAAAUUGGUUGGUGGAUGAUAGUUGUCCUUUGUAUGGAGGCUGGAUGUAGAAGGUGCUGCAAGCUCUGCAAGCUGAUUAGUUAAUGUGGAAGCUGAAACCUGCCUUGGGAAGCUGACCAUUGACCAUUGUCUUGCUUUUACCUGGGUUGCUUCCUUGUUUCUCUUUAGGUUUUUAAGAAAGGAUAAAGGCUGAACAGAUCUCUGCAGUUACAAUUAUUCAUACUAGAAGAUACUGCUAACCUCUUUGUUAUUUGAGCAGCUGGAUGAGAUUCCUGAUUUCCAUAAUCUGUACCUGGAGGUUUAUACAGGAGAGGAUCACUGGGGCAGACUUGAACCAUGGUGCCCACAAGUGGGGAGGGUGCUCCAGCGGCCAUGGAAAGAACUUCCUUCUGCAGUUGGAGACAGCCUUCUGUGUGGGCUGAAGGACAGAGUGUGAUUUUCUACUUGGAAGAGACUCCAGGGCUCUGCAGAGAGGGAAGCCCUGCUGACCCAUUUCAGCAGACUGUGACACUUCAGCGACCUGCAAAUUCUACACAUUAGAGUUCAUAUUUUAUACAAACUCCGUACACCUAAGAUGUGGACUUAACAUUUCUACCAACAACAUCCAACUUCCAACAAAAGAUGCAGGCCCAUCAGAAGAUGAAAGCUACUAAUGAAGAUGCAUUAAAGAUGAUAUUUAUGGCCACCCCUUAGGGAAAAAAAGAUUCAUAAAUAAUUUCAUGGAAAUUACACCCAAAAUAGAGUCAUAAUUUCCUCA